rnacentral:rRNA from 1 species
GACGAACGCUGGCGGCGUGCUUAGCACAUGCAAGUCGAACGGAAAGGCCCUGCUUGCAGGGUACUCGAGUGGCGAACGGGUGAGUAACACGUGGGUGAUCUGCCCUGCACUUCGGGAUAAGCUUGGAAACUGGGUCUAAUACCGGAUAGGAGCCAUCUUUAGUGUGGUGGUUGGAAAGUUUUUUCGGUGUAGGAUGAGCUCGCGGCCUAUCAGCUUGUUGGUGGGGUAAUGGCCUACCAAGGCGGCGACGGGUAGCCGGCCUGAGAGGGUGUACGGCCACAUUGGGACUGAGAUACGGCCCAGACUCCUACGGGAGGCAGCAGUGGGGAAUAUUGCACAAUGGGCGCAAGCCCGAUGCAGCGACGCCGCGUGGGGGAUGAAGGCCUUCGGGUUGUAAACUCCUUUCGCUAGGGACGAAGCUUUGUUGUGACGGUACCUAGAGAAGAAGCACCGGCUAACUACGUG